UUUGAACAAACUGCGAAAAUUAAAAAAAAAUAAACAAAUCUAUUUGUAGAUUAGUUUUACUUCAGCUUCUUUAUCUGAGAAAUCUUUUUUAAUUCCUCGUUUCUGCCGCCAUAAUUUGCUUUUGCUGGUAGAUUUAUGCUUUACUUUUAAUAUACUUAAUGGAUCUUGUAACUUAAUUGCUUCAUUUAUAAACCGUCCAUUAUUUACGCCUAAAAAUUUAAAACAUUUUACUCAUUUCAAUGAUAAUUUUAAAGACCUUUUACGAACAUAUAUAUUCUUAGGACAUCAUUUCCAAAUAACAUCAUUUAAGCUUUCAUCAAAGCACUUUCCAUUUUCUUUUGAAACUACACUAAUAAUCUUAUUCAGUAACUUUUGUCUACGCCUUUUCCAGGAACCAUCAACAGAAACUUGACAAUAUACAGAUUUAUUAUGAAAGACAUUAAGGCGGAAUGCAAGAAGUUGAAAUUUGAAGUCAUUCUUCAAAUCUGAUAUUUGACUUGGGCAAAAGCAAAGAGCAAAGUUGAACUCAAGCUAUACUUGAAAACCGGCGGAUUUCAAGUUAAGGCAAGUUUCCACUCAUUUGUUUUUCUACGGGAACGGGAUAGGGAAGGAAGAAAAAAUCAGUAUUUCUUCGGACAAAUUAAAACUUACUAAGCAUGUCCACGUGAUUUUUUUCCCUCCCCUUUUCCGUUCCCGUUAAAAAAACGGAGGAGAGGAAACUCACCUUUAGACUUGAAAAGCCUACUUGAGAAAGCAAAUAUCUUUUCCGAACGCAAGUCGCGACCUGAGUGCUUACUUGUUCUAGCUCCAAUUUUGUAAAAAAAUCAAAAUGAUACUAAAGCAGUCAACAAAGCAUCAAUAUUUUUAUAUUUUAAUUGUUGAUUUGUGUAAUAAUGUGCCUGGUACGUGUCAAUUUAAGUUCACUUUGUUCUAUCUCCACUUUUUACAAAACAAAACGACUAAUCAAAUAAAGCGUCACAAAAAAUCUCCAAAGCAGAAAUAUUAUUUAAUGUUUAUUUGUUCAUCAAGCUUUCUUUUAAUAAUUUAAUGACAAUUUCAAGAUGGCAGAUUGCGAAACUGCACAAAAUGUCUUGUAAUUCUAUAACGCAAGUCGAACUGUGAUUAUUUUGUUUAUUUAUUUAACAAAAUAAGUGAAGGACGAAUAAAGAAAACUCGAAAACAAAACAUACUAAUAUGUGGAAAAGGAAUUGCACAGAAAAAAAAGAGAAUCAAUACUAUAUGAAUUCAAGAACAAUACAAUAUAAAUUCAAGUUGAAGAAAGAAAAUCUGUUGAAAGUAAUUGCUAAAAGUGCAUUUUUUCUUGUGAAUCAAAAAUUACCCCGGAAAAUAUGGAAACUUAUAUUCAAAUA